UACGUAGGGUGCGAGCGUUGUCCGGAAUUAUUGGGCGUAAAGAGCUCGUAGGCGGUUCGUCGCGUCGAAUGUGAAAACCCGGGGCUCAACUCCGGGCCUGCAUUCGAUACGGGCGGACUAGAGUUCGGUAGGGGAGACUGGAAUUCCUGGUGUAGCGGUGAAAUGCGCAGAUAUCAGGAGGAACACCGGUGGCGAAGGCGGGUCUCUGGGCCGAUACUGACGCUGAGGAGCGAAAGCGUGGGGAGCGAACAGG
rnacentral:rRNA from 2 species